rnacentral:rRNA from 1 species
AAUAUUGCACAAUGGAGGGAACUCUGAUGCAGCGACGCCGCGUGAGUGAAGAAGGUCUUCGGAUCGUAACACUCUGUCCUUGGUGAAGAUACUGACGGUAGCCAAGGAUGAAGGCCCGGCUAACUACGUGCCAGCAGCCGCGGUAAUACGUAGGGGGCGAGCGUUGUCCGGAUUUACUGGGCGUAAAGGGUGAGUAGGCGGUUAUAUAUGUCAGGUGUAAAAGGCUAUGGCUUAACCAUAGUUAGCACUUGAAACUGUAUGACUUGAGUGCAGGAGAGGUAAGCGGAAUUCCUAGUGUAGCGGUGAAAUGCGUAGAUAUUAGGAGGAACACCAGUGGCGAAGGCGGCUUACUGGACUGUAACUGACGCUGAGUCACGAAAGCGUGGGUAGCAAAC